rnacentral:rRNA from 1 species
GGCUUUUUGAAUAUAAUUUAAGGUCGGGCCUGCCCAAUGAUUAAAUUAAAUGGCCGCGGUAUAUUGACCGUGCAAAGGUAGCAUAAUCAUUAGUUUUUUAAUUGAAAGCUUGUAUGAAAGGUUUAAUGAGAAAAAUACUGUCUCUAUUUAAAUUUGUUAAAAUUUUAUUUUUAAGUAAAAAAGCUUAAAUAUGUAUUGAAGACGAGAAGACCCUAUAGAGUUUUAUAUUUUGUUUAGCAAAUAAUUAUUUAGAAUUUUAAAGAUUUGUUAAACAAAGUAUUUGAUUGGGGUGAUUAAAAAAUUAAUAAAACUUUUUUUGUAUUUUUACAUUGAUAAGUGAGUAAUUGAUCCUUUGUUUAAGAUUAGAAGAUAAAAUUACCUUAGGGAUAACAGCGUAAUUUUUUUUAGAGUUCUUAUCGAAAAGAAAGAUUGCGACCUCGAUGUUGGAUUAAAAUUAAUUAUUGGUGUAGAGGCUAAUAAAUUAGGUCUGUUCGACCUUUAAAUUUUUACAUGAUCUGAGUUUAAACCGGUGUAAG